UUUAAUGCUUUUAAUAUUUAAUUAUAAACGUAUUUAACCUUCAAUUAAUGAAAUGUAUGUUUUUGGUCCCUAUAUGAGUUUAACUUGGAAAGAUGUUACACUCUUCUUAGUCCGAUUCUAUAAUGAUUCUUGUUUCGUAGGAGAUGUGCAGAAGCUCUUCUAGUCCCACAUCGGCUGAGUAACAGAGCUCCUAUAUACGAAGUCGAUAUGAAAGAACCUAGCAAAACAUGUAAAACGCACAUUUUUAGGCCUUUUGGCUAAGAUUGAGUGCAGUAUAUCUUCUUUGGUAGAUGGCCAGUGCUAGUAAGGGC
rnacentral:lncRNA from 1 species